rnacentral:rRNA from 1 species
AGUGAACGCUGGCGGUAGGCCUAACACAUGCAAGUCGAACGGCAGCACAGGAGAGCUUGCUCUCUGGGUGGCGAGUGGCGGACGGGUGAGGAAUACAUCGGAAUCUGCCCAGUCGUGGGGGAUAACGUAGGGAAACUUACGCUAAUACCGCAUACGACCUUCGGGUGAAAGAGGGGGAUCGCAAGACCUCUCGCGAUUGGAUGAGCCGAUGUCGGAUUAGCUAGUUGGCGGGGUAAUGGCCCACCAAGGCGACGAUCCGUAGCUGGUCUGAGAGGAUGAUCAGCCACACGGAAACGGAGAAACGGGCAAGACGCCAAGGGGAGGCAGCAGGGGGGAAAAUUGGACAAGGGGGGCAAGCCGGAUCCAGCCAAACCGCGGGGGGAAAGAAGGCCUUCGGGUUGUAAAGCCCUUUUGUGGGGAAAGAAAUCUUUCAGGCAAUACCCUGGGAGGAUGACGGUACCCAAAGAAUAAGCACCGGCUAACUUCGUG